GAAAUGCGAUAAGUAGUGUGAAUUGCAGAAUUCAGUGAAUCAUCGAAUCUUUGAACGCACAUUGCGCCCUUUGGUAUUCCUUAGGGCAUGCCUGUUCGAGCGUCAUUUGUAACCUCAAGCUCAGCUUGGUGUUGGGUGUCUGUCCCCGCCCCGCGCGGGGACUCGCCUCAAAAACAUUGGCGGCCGGUACGUUGGCUUCGAGCGCAGCAGAAACGCGAACUCGAGGCCCGACGGAUCGGCGACCAGAAGUCACUUCCUCCACAGCUUGACCUCGGAUCAGGUAGGGAUACCCGCUGAACUUAAGC
rnacentral:misc_RNA from 1 species